CCAAUAGCGUAUAUUAAAGUUGUUGCAGUUAAAAAGCUCGUAGUUGAAUUUCGGGAUCAAUAUAUCGGUCGUGCCAUCGGUACGUACUGGUAUGAUUGGUUUCUCCUUUCUGACGAACCAUGAUGUCAUUAAUUUGGUGUUAUGGGAAGUUAGGACUGUUACUUUGAAAAAAUUAGAGUGUUUAAAGCAGGCUUUGGCUUGAAUACAUUAGCAUGGAAUAAUGAAAUAGGACGUUUGAUUCUAUUUUGUUGGUUUCUAGGAUCGACGUAAUGAUUAAUAGGGAUAGUUGGGGGCAUUAGUAUUCAAUUGUCAGAGGUGAAAUUCUUGGAUUUAUUGAAGACUAACUACUGCGAAAGCAUUUGCCAAGGAUGUUUUCAUUAAUCAAGAACGAAAGUUAGGGGAUCGAAGACGAUCAGAUACCGUCGUAGUCUUAACCAUAAACUAUGCCGACUAGGGAUCGGAUGAUGUUAAUUUUUUAAUGACUCAUUCGGCGCCUUACG
rnacentral:rRNA from 1 species